UACAGAGGGUGCGAGCGUUGUCCGGAAUUACUGGGCGUAAAGGGCGCGUAGGCGGCUUGGUAAGUCGGGGGUGAAAGUCAGCGGCUCAACCGCUGGACUGCCUUCGAGACUGCCUGGCUUGAGCAUGGUAGAGGCUGGCGGAAUUCCCGGUGUAGCGGUGGAAUGCGUAGAGAUCGGGAAGAACACCCGUGGCGAAGGCGGCUCUCUGGGACGGUACUGACGCUGAGACGCGAAAGCGUGGGGAGCGAACAGG
rnacentral:rRNA from 1 species